rnacentral:rRNA from 1 species
CCUACGGGGGGCAGCAGUGAGGAAUAUUGGUCAAUGGCCGCAAGGCUGAACCAGCCAUGCCGCGUGCAGGAAGAAGGCUCUAUGAUUUGUAAACUGCUUUUGUAGGGGGGUAAAUGUAUAUACGUGUGGCUGUUUGCAUGUACCGUACGAAUAAGGAUCGGCUAACUCCGUGCCAGCAGCCGCGGUAAUACGGAGGAUGCGAGCGUUAUCCGGAUUUAUUGGGUUUAAAGGGUGCGUAGGCUGUUUGUUAAGUUAGAGGUGAAAGCUCGGGGCUCAACCUGGGAAUUGCCGUUGAAACUGUAAGACUUGAGUGUGGUUGAGGUAGGCGGAAUGCGUGGUGUAGCGGUGAAAUGCAUAGAGAUCACGCAGAACACCGAUUGCGAAGGCAGCUUACUAAGCUACAACUGACGCUGAGGCACGAAAGCGUGGGGAGCAAACAGGAUUAGAUACCCUUGUAGUC